CUAAGGCUCCAGAGGAAGCCACGGCUAACUCUGUGCCAGCAGCCGCGGUAAUACAGAGGCGGCAAGCGUUGAUCGGAAUUAUUGGGCGUAAAGAGCACGUAGGCGGCCUUGCAAGUCAGUUGUGAAAGCCUUCCGCUUAACGGAAGAAUGCCAGCUGAUACUACAGGGCUUGAGUACGGGAGGGGAGAGUGGAACUUCUGGUGGAGCGGCGAAAUGCGUAGAUAUCAGAAGGAACGCCGGCGGCGAAAGCGACUCUCUGGCCCGAAACCGACGCUGAGUGUGCGAAAGCUAGGGGAGCAAACGGGAUUAGAUGCCCCGGUAGUCCUAGCCGUAAA
rnacentral:rRNA from 1 species